CCCAGAAUAGUGUCAUCAACUAUCCUAAUAAACAAUACAAAUGACAAACAAAUUAGGAGAUAACAUACACAAACCAAUAUUUAAACAGGGCCCAAUUAUCCCUCUUUGUUCUGUUUUUAAAAUGGUUUGACAUUUUACCUUGGGACAGUGCCAGGGCACUCUGGUACCAUAACCUCUACAGGGGACUAUAAUGGAUAUAUGAUGAUUUGGGUGUUCCUUUUAAGAACAUUUUAUUUACUUUAAAGAGUUCUUCAGUGAAGAAUAUUAGAGUGAGUCAAUAUAAAAUGUUCCUAGGUAUGUUGGUAAAAUAUCUUAAAUGUAUUAUAUAAUUCUUAAUAUGACAAAGGUAUAAUUAAUUAUGAACGUUAAUUACAGUCAUUUUAUAAAGAUGUGCUGCACACUAGUAAUAUAGUAAAAAUAGGUAAUUGUAUUGCAAAUUAUGUGAUAAUUACAUGCAAUACUUUUUGAGUCCUUUUCAUGUGAU